CCUACGGGUGGCAGCAGUGGGGAAUAUUGGUCAAUGGGCGCAAGCCUGACCCAGCAACGUCGCGUGAAGGAAGAAGGCUUUCGGGUUUUAAACUUCUUUUAAUAGGGAAGCGCAUAAGUCGGUACCUCUUGUAUAAGCCACUGCUAGCUACGUGCCAGCAGCCGCGGUAAUACGUAGGUGGCAAGCUUUUUCCGGAUUUCCUGGGUGUAAAGGGCGUUCAGCGGGGAAGACAAGUCAGAUGUGAAAUCCCGCGGCUCAAACGCGGAACUGCAUUUGAAACUGUUCUUCUUGAGUACCCGAGAGGUCAUCGGAAUGCGUUGUGUAGCGGUGAAAUGCGUAGAUAUAAGGAAGAACACCAGUGGCGAAGGCGGAUGACUGGACGGCAACUGACGGUGAGGCGCGAAAGCGUGGGGAGCAAACAGGAUUAGAUACCCGAGUAGUC
rnacentral:rRNA from 1 species